rnacentral:lncRNA from 12 species
UGCUCGGGGAACAGAAUGAACUCACUGGCAGAAAGAGUGCCUCGUAGUUAUACUAAGCAUUUGACAAAUUGUGGUUAUUAGGAUGGAAGUCUAAAGGCCACGGGCAGGACCCGGCCUGGCUUCGCUUCUGGAGAAUCGCUGCCAUUGUGACUUCUAGUAUCUGAGCCCCAACCGAGCCAUGAAAGUCAUCAGAGCACAAAGCCCUUCUGUUCUGCUGUGCCAAGAACUCCCUCGUGCACACUCACCCCACGGCCCAGCCUGUGGCCCCCACAACUCAGAACCUCCUGUAUGAGCCUCAGACAGCAAAGCUGUUACAGCAGAUUUUGUUUAAAAAAAAAGGAGAGAGAAGAAAAAGUUUUGGAUGGUCAAUUAGCGAUGUGAGGUACUCCCCAUAAUCAGGAGAGAAACCCUAAUGUGGAGUCUUUUUUUUUUCUUUCUUUCUUUUUAAGAAGUGAAGUCUAGCAACUUCCAAGUUGCAGCCAAAAUGAUCAAAGUUGCCGGCAUUUCGAGGCCAAAGUACUGAGUCCUGUGGUUGAUUCCCUGGGCCUGGCCGGUGUCACUUCCCUGUGCCGAGGACGUGCAGGUGGAGCAGAGCAGAAGGAGACAAGGUGGGCAAGUCUCUUCCUCUGCUUUUGGCGCCGUGCCUGACCUGCUCGCUGGGUGGGUGGCCCUGGGUGCCGCAGCUCACCUGCCAGGAGCCGGCCAGCACUGGGUCAUCCUCGGGGUGACAGAGGUGGCGAGGUCUCUUCCUGUGAUGAGCUCUUGAAAAUAACACCAGACAGAAAUAGCGUCCGUGGCAGGGACCUGGGGACACGUGCCCCCCAGCCCCCCGAGUCUCUCUACCCUGACCAUCUCAUUCUCAUGGAGAAACUGCACUAUGUUCGAGUGUUGCUGUGAGAGCCUUGUUGGCUGGUCCAGCUGCCAGCGAGCAUCAAGUUCCUGGGCAACUGGCUGUCGCUUCGCCAACUUGGAGGAGCGCUGAUUCUCCAGCUGCCUUUUUAAAGUGGCUCUGGGCACUUGAUGCCACUGAGCCGGCUGCCCUCAGUGGCCUUGAUCAUGAUCCGCAAGUCGGCAGUGCCCGUGGGGAACUCCCAGCAGGCAUCAAGGGACAUUUGGCACGAGCAUACCAUACUGGGUACUCCAUGGGAGUACCGGGAAUCCUCACAACCACCGCUUUAGAUGGUAACUGUGCGAGGAAGCUGGGAAGAUCCCAAGACACUAGGUUAUGCGCCCAUGGACACAUGGCUAGGAAGGGGCCACACAGAAUAAGAUGGCUUCUGGCACCAAGAGCAGAGACCCUUCCACUUGGCCACCCCACAGCUUCCUGGAGCUUGUGAGGAGGAUGGGCUUGGUGUCCAUAGCACACUUGAUGUGGUGCCUACCACUCGGGGGACAUCCUACACAUGGUGGCUACUGAUGACAUCAUAAAGGCCUCCACAAUAUCAAACCCACUGCGGGCUCAUAAGAGGAAGGGAAGGAAGAGGACCCCUCACUUUCCCUCCAUGAGUAGGGGGCUCAGGAUGAACACUCAUGUUUCUGCUGGGGAGAUCACCACCGACCACAAUGCAGAACCACUGAGAAUUUAUGGCAGACAAAACUGAUUUUCGAAGGCAGAGUCCUAACAGCAACACCGAACAGCACACUCUCCUCUGGAGCCCUCCUACUGGCAUGGCCGGCCUGCCCAGGAGUGUCCUCAUGUCCUUGUAGGAGGAGGGACAGCUGAAGGAACAGAGCAGACGCCUGGUGGCCCAGGAGGUCAGCUGAAGCAGGGAGUCACAGGGACUGAGCAGCCUAACGCUGGUAGGCGCUGCUCCAUAACCUGUGAGGCGAGGAGCACCCCUGGCCUUCCGGGGUGGCUGAGGGAAGCAGAUGGGCUAGAACUAAAGCUGACUGGCCUCGUGUCCAAUUCAUCUUUGAGUUUUAUCUGACACGGGAUCGUCCUCAGGUCUGUACCAAAGGGGCAUACUCCACAUGUCAAAUUACCCUUGAAGGUCCCCUGACUGGGCUGUGGGGUGCAGAGGACACACGGUUUUGUACUGUCAUGCUGCACACACGGGCGUGUGAGUGCACCACAUAUGGAGCCUCGUACGGAACAUGGCGAGAGUUCAUGUACCCCCUGAGCACAAACGUGCUCAGCUCUCCAAAUGGUCGAGCCGAAACCAACAGGAGGACCUCAGCUUCGCUGCUCCCACCCUACCCCGCCCUGUGUCUUUGUUUUGGGGAUGGCAAGGGGUGGCCAAAUCCUCCUAAAUCUGAAGAUGCUGUAACUGCUUGAGCACUGCUCUCUGAGGUCC